ensembl:snRNA Gm25199 predicted gene, 25199
GUGCUUGCUUCGGCAGCACAUAUACUAAAAUUGGAAUGCUACAGAGAUUAGCAUGGCCCCUGCACAAGGGUGACACACAAAUUCCUGAAGCGUUCCAUAUUUUU